UCUACGGGUGGCAGCAGUGAGGAAUAUUGGUCAAUGGGCGCGAGCCUGAACCAGCCAAGUAGCGUGAAGGAUGACUGCCCUACGGGUUGUAAACUUCUUUUAUAAAGGAAUAAAGUGAGGCACGUGUGCCUUUUUGUAUGUACUUUAUGAAUAAGGAUCGGCUAACACCGUGCCAGCAGCCGCGGUAAUACGGAGGAUCCGAGCUUUAUCCGGAUUUAUUGGGUUUAAAGGGAGCGUAGAUGGGUUGUUAAGUCAGUUGUGAAAGGUUGCGGCUUAACCGUAAAAUUGCAAUUGAUACGGGCAGCCUUGAGUACAGUUGAGGGAGGCAGAAUUCGAUGUGUAGCGGUGAAAUGCUUAGAUAUCACGAAGAACUCCGAUUGCGAAGGCAGCUUACUAAACUGCCACUGACAUUGAUGCUCGAAAGUGUGGGUAUCAAACAGGAUUAGAUACCCGGGUAGUC
rnacentral:rRNA from 1 species